UUGUCCGUCGCAGCCGCGAGACACGAGCCGCCGCCACCAUCGCCGGGAUCGCCGGGAGCAUCCAACUCGUACCUGACGAGCGCCGCCCGAGAUCACGGCGGACGCAUCUUCUGCCUCCUCAUCCACGUCGCCUCCUUCAAUCGCUUCUGUGGCCGUCGAUAUAAGAAUUGAAGGCUGGAGCUGGAGUCUGAGACCGUUGUUGCUUCUUCUUGCUACGCAGCGGUUGUCUAUUUUUAUGUAUAUUGCUCAGCUCGUGAUGUCUAAGGAUACUCUGUAAGGACUAGUUCUACAUACAAGAUCCAAGAGACCACGAUUUCCAUGUUGGAUUCAAGAUCACCAGGAGUGAAGAACCAGGAUAUCAUAAAUACGUCGAUUAAAAUUCACAGUUGUUAGGAACCUGGGCUUUCUUUUGUUGCUAACUCACAACAUAUUCUUUAACUCAGAUAUUGGAUAUGAAAUGCAGCAGUAGGAGUAUGUGUCAGUACUGAUUCUACUAUGUCUGUGCAGUAUUCCAGGAACAUGAUGAUGUCUCUGCUUGAAUGCAGACGAUCCAAGAUGAAAUGGUCAGUGUCAUGCGUGAAGAUAGAAGCUUGUGCUGCUAUGAACAUAGCAGGUGGCUAAAAUGGUGCACAUACCUCCAGCUUUGGUUAUGGACCACUGGAAGAUGGUGAAGGGCUUGACAGGCUUAGAAAGCAGAGGAUGCAUUGAGAAGACAUCUUAUUAGCACAUGGAUUUGUAAAUUUCACUUGUGGUAGUGGCCUGAUGUUAUGUGCAUACAUCUCUUGGGGUCUAAAUCAAUACAUGCAUCUGCCACCCUGACUGUGAUCCUAUGGAUGCCAUUUUGUAGCUUAAUUAUCAAGAUAAGCAUGUGCUUUUGUCAAAUCUGCUCUUAUAUAUGACCAUAUUUUGGCAUUGAAUGGAUAAAUAAAUGUAACAGUCCACUUUGUUGAGUAAA